rnacentral:rRNA from 2 species
UACGAAGGGUGCAAGCGUUGUUCGGAUUUAUUGGGCGUAAAGCGCGCGCAGGCGGGAUGGCAAGUCAGAUGUGAAAUCUCGGGGCUCAACUCCGAAACUGCGUCUGAAACUACUAUUCUAGAAUACUGGAGAGGGAUGGGGAAUUUCGCAUGUAGGGGUAAAAUCCGUAGAUAUGCGAAGGAACACCUGGAGCGAAGGCGCCAUCCUGGACAGUCAUUGACGCUGAGGCGCGAAAGCGUGGGGAGCAAACAGG